rnacentral:sRNA from 1 species
GGUCAUUUGUACGGAACUCCACGACCUGUCGAGUGUUAUGCUGAUGACGAUAUGAUGCUGAUGGGAUCGGAAGGACUGUUACCACCGAAUUGGGAGACGGCUUAUACGGAAAAUGGGGACAAGUAUUUCAUUGAGUAGGUUUUUUUGUUGAAAAAAUAUAAUUCUACAUAUGCCUGCCUUGUCGGCAAAUGCAGCAAAUAUCGAAUUAUCGAAAUUUUCAAAAUUUGGAAAUUGUCUUAAGAUUGUUGAAAAUUUUUCCAAUUCCUAGAAUAAAAGAUCAAAAUCCCUAAGUUUUUAGUUAAAAAAAAACAUUGUUGUAUUAUGUUCUAAUAGAAUCUUGAGCAAAUGCAAAGGUUGAUAUAUUUUUUUUCAAAUUGAUAUCUCGAAAUUCCCAACAUUUUCUUAUUUCAAAAUUUGUGUGUUCAUUUUAUAUUUCGGUGACUUUUUUCUUCUAAGCAUUAAAAUUUUCAGCCACAACACUGGAACAACAACAUGGGACGAUCCGAGAGAGCUGCCACCUGGAUGGGAGCAAGUUGAUGAUCAGAAUUAUGGCACAUUUUAUGUGGA